GAUUGAACGCUAGCGGGAUGCUUUACACAUGCAAGUCGAACGGCAGCGCGGACUUCGGUCUGGCGGCGAGUGGCGAACGGGUGAGUAAUAUAUCGGAACGUACCCAGUAGCGGGGGAUAACUACUCGAAAGAGUAGCUAAUACCGCAUACGCCCUACGGGGGAAAGGGGGGGAUCGCAAGACCUCUCACUAUUGGAGCGGCCGAUAUCGGAUUAGCUAGUUGGUGGGGUAAAGGCCUACCAAGGCGACGAUCCGUAGCUGGUUUGAGAGGACGACCAGCCACACUGGGACUGAGACACGGCCCAGACUCCUACGGGAGGCAGCAGUGGGGAAUUUUGGACAAUGGGGGAAACCCUGAUCCAGCCAUCCCGCGUGUGCGAUGAAGGCCUUCGGGUUGUAAAGCACUUUUGGCAGGAAAGAAAUCGCACGGGUUAAUACCUUGUGUGGAUGACGGUACCUGCAGAAUAAGCACCGGCUAACUACGUGCCAGCAGCCGCGGUAAUACGUAGGGUGCAAGCGUUAAUCGGAAUUACUGGGCGUAAAGCGUGCGCAGGCGGUUCGGAAAGAAAGGUGUGAAAUCCCAGGGCUUAACCUUGGAACUGCAUUUUUAACUACCGGGCUAGAGUAUGUCAGAGGGGGGUGGAAUUCCGCGUGUAGCAGUGAAAUGCGUAGAUAUGCGGAGGAACACCGAUGGCGAAGGCAGCCCCCUGGGAUAAUACUGACGCUCAUGCACGAAAGCGUGGGGAGCAAACCAGGAUUAGAUACCCUGGUAGUCCACGCCCUAAACGAUGUCAACUAGCUGUUGGGGGCCUUCGGGCCUUAGUAGCGCAGCUAACGCGUGAAGUUGACCGCCUGGGGAGUACGGUCGCAAGAUUAAAAACUCAAAGGAAUUGACGGGGACCCGCACAAGCGGUGGAUGAUGUGGAUUAAUUCGAUGCAACGCGAAAAACCUUACCUACCCUUGACAUGUCUGGAAUCCCGAAGAGAUUUGGGAGUGCUCGCAAGAGAACUGGAACACAGGUGCUGCAUGGCUGUCGUCAGCUCGUGUCGUGAGAUGUUGGGUUAAGUCCCGCAACGAGCGCAACCCUUGUCAUUAGUUGCUACGAAAGGGCACUCUAAUGAGACUGCCGGUGACAAACCGGAGGAAGGUGGGGAUGACGUCAAGUCCUCAUGGCCCUUAUGGGUAGGGCUUCACACGUCAUACAAUGGUCGGGACAGAGGGUUGCCAACCCGCGAGGGGGAGCCAAUCUCACAAACCCGAUCGUAGUCCGGAUUGCAGUCUGCAACUCGACUGCAUGAAGUCGGAAUCGCUAGUAAUCGCGGAUCAGAAUGUCGCGGUGAAUACGUUCCCGGGUCUUGUACACACCGCCCGUCACACCAUGGGAGUGGGUUUCACCAGAAGUAGUUAGCCUAACCGUAAGGAGGGCGAUUACCACGGUGGGAUUCAUGACUGGGGU
rnacentral:rRNA from 1 species